GCCGUCGGUGGUGCAAGGGUUUAACACACUCUCCCAAAAAGAGAGAGAUUUGGGUUCGCAUCCCGGCCGACGCA